UCUGUAGUGUCUGCGUAGCCU
rnacentral:siRNA from 1 species